AGCCUUGAUGCAAGCCAUUGCCGCCGAUGUUAUGAAGAAAGGCCAUCGGUUGUAAAGUACUUUCAGCGGGGGAAGGAAAGGGAGUAAAGUUUAAUACCCUUGCUCAUUGACCGUUAACCCGCCAGAAGAAGCAACCGGCCUAACUCCGUGCCAGCAGCCGCGGUAAUACGGAGGGGUGCAAGCGUUAAUCGGAAUUACUGGGCGUAAAGCGCACGCAGGCGGUUUGUUAAGUCAGAUGUGAAAUCCCCGAGCUCAACCUGAGGAACUGCAUCUGAUACUGGCAAGCUUGAGUCUCGUAGAGGGGAGGUAGAAUUCCAGGUGUAGCGGUGAAAUGCGUAGAGAUCUGGAGGAAUACCGGUGGCGAAGGCGGCCCCCUGGACGAAGACUGACGCUCAGGUGCGAAAGCGUGGGGAGCAAACAGGAUUAGAUACCCUGGUAGUCCACGCCGUAAACGAUGUCGACUUGGAGGUUGUGCCCUUGAGGCGUGGCUUCCGGAGCUAACGCGUUAAGUCGACCGCCUGGGGAGUACGGCCGCAAGGUUAAAACUCAAAUGAAUUGACGGGGGCCCGCACAAGCGGUGGAGCAUGUGGUUUAAUUCGAUGCAACGCGAAGAACCUUACCUGGUCUUGACAUCCACGGAAGUUUUCAGAGAUGAGAAUGUGCCUUCGGGAACCGUGAGACAGGUGCUGCAUGGCUGUCGUCAGCUCGUGUUGUGAAAUGUUGGGUUAAGUCCCGCAACGAGCGCAACCCUUAUCCUUUGUUGCCAGCGGUCCGGCCGGGAACUCAAAGGAGACUGCCAGUGAUAAACUGGAGGAAGGUGGGGAUGACGUCAAGUCAUCAUGGCCCUUACGACCAGGGCUACACACGUGCUACAAUGGCGCAUACAAAGAGAAGCGACCUCGCGAGAGCAAGCGGACCUCAUAAAGUGCGUCGUAGUCCGGAUUGGAGUCUGCAACUCGACUCCAUGAAGUCGGAAUCGCUAGUAAUCGUGGAUCAGAAUGCCACGGUGAAUACGUUCCCGGGCCUUGUACACACCGCCCGUCACACCAUGGGAGUGGGUUGCAAAAGAAGUAGGUAGCUAACCUCGGAGACGCUACCAGCUUUGAACCCC
rnacentral:rRNA from 1 species